UUCGCACACCUAAAAGAUCGAAUACGGCCGUUUUCGCUGGAAUAAAUACUUUGACUAUCGAAGUACUCAAAUUCGAUGGUCGAAUUUUGAAGUUUUUUUACUUCGAAAUUCAGUCCUUGAUAAAUAUGCCCCUUACUGUUAGAAGCAGUGAUAGGACCUUUUUUUAAUGAGAGCUCAGUUUGGUGUUAUAUCUCCUUCAUUAUUCUCUACCUAUAUUGAAGUUGUUUUGAAGUUGUUUUGGGUACAGGAACAAAAUGUAAUCCAAGAUAAAUGCAAUUGAAUCAUGUAUGUGACCGAUGAGGUAAGACAAAGCCCCAUAUUCAGACAUGAAUGGUUCAUCUCAACUGAACAAAUUUUAGCCGUUUCUGAAAAAUAAAAGACACGAUUAUCAAGGUGUUACAGAGAGGCAGCAUUGCACUCGGUCUGGCAGCUGAUUUCUGCUGUGUUAAAAUAUAUUUACACUUAUUUAAAAUGCCAUCUAAGCGCGGGCGCAGAAAUAAGAGGAAAAGGAAUUCUGUGAAAUCACAGCCAGUUGGUGAUCCUGUGGCUCAAUCUCACAGCACACGGCGGAAAGCCAUAUUUACUCUUCACUUAAGUGAAAGACGGAUUCAAGCUCUGGAAAUGUUUGGAAGGAAUUCAAGAUGAAAACAUAUGUUUAAUAUGUUAUUGAUCCAGUCAUUCAUUCAUGUUCCCUGUAUUCUUUAUGCACAAGGUUUAAAAGAACUUUAACAAUUUUGUUUGCGACACUCCAUGUUAUAAAUAAAGGUGCUUUUACAAUUA